UGACUCUAGCUAGCCAGUCAAAUCCAGACUUGGUGCAUAGGCUUCUGGGAGAUGUAGUCUUUUUUUUAAACCCAGUUGGGUGUGGAUAAAGGGGGUGCUCGGACUCUCGGGGUUGCACUGUGGGGCUGCCAUGUUGCCUGGGGGAGUGGGAUGCCCUGGCACCACGUGGUAUGGCUGGGGUUGCUGCUAAGGGCUUGGGCUGCAGCAAGUGUAAGCCAGCCCUGGGGACCCCCUUAAAAUGGGGCACCCCCACUUUGGGGUCCUGCUGCCCCACUGUUUGAGAGCCACUGCAUUGGACCCCAGUGCAUUGCCAGAGCCCCUUGGACUGCAACCGCGAGGGCCUGCUGCCUCCCCAGAGCCCCUGGGACGGCAACCGCUGGGGCCUGCUGCCGCCCCAGAGCCCCUUGGACUGCAACCGCGAGGGCCUGCUGCCUCCCCAGAGCCCCUGGGACGGCAACCGCUGGGGCCUGCUGCCGCCCCAGAGCCCCUUGGACUGCAACCGCGAGGGCCUGCUGCCUCCCCAGAGCCCCUGGGACGGCAACCGCUGGGGCCUGCUGCCGCCCCAGAGCCCCUUGGACUGCAACCGCGAGGGCCUGCUGCCUCCCCAGAGCCCCUGGGACGGCAACCGCUGGGGCCUGCUGCCGCCCCAGAGCCCCUUGGACUGCAACCGCGAGGGCCUGCUGCCUCCCCAGAGCCCCUGGGACGGCAACCGCUGGGGCCUGCUGCCGCCCCAGAGCCCCUUGGACUGCAACCGCGAGGGCCUGCUGCCUCCCCAGAGCCCCUGGGACGGCAACCGCUGGGGCCUGCUGCCGCCCCAGAGCCCCUUGGACUGCAACCGCGAGGGCCUGCUGCCUCCCCAGAGCCCCUGGGACGGCAACCGCUGGGGCCUGCUGCCGCCCCAGAGCCCCUUGGACUGCAACCGCGAGGGCCUGCUGCCUCCCCAGAGCCCCUGGGACGGCAACCGCUGGGGCCUGCUGCCGCCCCAGAGCCCCUUGGACUGCAACCGCGAGGGCCUGCUGCCUCCCCAGAGCCCCUGGGACGGCAACCGCUGGGGCCUGCUGCCGCCCCAGAGCCCCUUGGACUGCAACCGCGAGGGCCUGCUGCCUCCCCAGAGCCCCUGGGACGGCAACCGCUGGGGCCUGCUGCCGCCCCAGAGCCCCUUGGACUGCAACCGCGAGGGCCUGCUGCCUCCCCAGAGCCCCUGGGACGGCAACCGCUGGGGCCUGCUGCCGCCCCAGAGCCCCUUGGACUGCAACCGCGAGGGCCUGCUGCCUCCCCAGAGCCCCUGGGACGGCAACCGCUGGGGCCUGCUGCCGCCCCAGAGCCCCUUGGACUGCAACCGCGAGGGCCUGCUGCCUCCCCAGAGCCCCUGGGACGGCAACCGCUGGGGCCUGCUGCCGCCCCAGAGCCCCUUGGACUGCAACCGCGAGGGCCUGCUGCCUCCCCAGAGCCCCUGGGACGGCAACCGCUGGGGCCUGCUGCCGCCCCAGAGCCCCUUGGACUGCAACCGCGAGGGCCUGCUGCCUCCCCAGAGCCCCUGGGACGGCAACCGCUGGGGCCUGCUGCCGCCCCAGAGCCCCUUGGACUGCAACCGCGAGGGCCUGCUGCCUCCCCAGAGCCCCUGGGACGGCAACCGCUGGGGCCUGCUGCCGCCCCAGAGCCCCUUGGACUGCAACCGCGAGGGCCUGCUGCCUCCCCAGAGCCCCUGGGACGGCAACCGCUGGGGCCUGCUGCCGCCCCAGAGCCCCUUGGACUGCAACCGCGAGGGCCUGCUGCCUCCCCAGAGCCCCUGGGACGGCAACCGCUGGGGCCUGCUGCCGCCCCAGAGCCCCUUGGACUGCAACCGCGAGGGCCUGCUGCCUCCCCAGAGCCCCUGGGACGGCAACCGCUGGGGCCUGCUGCCGCCCCAGAGCCCCUUGGACUGCAACCGCUAGGGCCUGCUGCCUCCCCAGAGCUGGGACUGGCACCCCUGCGUCCUGGCUCCCAGAUCUACUUCGACUGCAACCACUGGAGCUUGCUGCCUCCCCAGAGCUGGGACUAGGACACAGGAGUCCUGGCUCCUAGGCCUAAGCACUAGAACCUGCCCUCUUCCCAGAGCUAGGAAGACAACACGUCUCCUCUUCCAUGCUGGCAGAUUUCUUCCGCACUAAAGACCGUCCGCCAUGGCCCGUACCAAGCAGACUGCUCGUAAAUCCACUGGUGGGAAGGCCCCCCGUAAACAACUGGCCACCAAAGCAGCCAGGAAAAGUGCGCCCUCAACCGGGGGAGUGAAGAAACCUCACCGUUACAGGCCUGGCACCGUGGCCCUUCGAGAGAUCCGGCGGUACCAGAAAUCCACUGAGCUGCUGAUUCGCAAGCUCCCGUUCCAGCGUCUGGUCCGUGAGAUCGCUCAGGACUUCAAGACGGACCUGCGGUUCCAGAGCGCAGCCAUCGGAGCCCUACAGGAAGCCAGUGAGGCUUAUCUCGUGGGUCUCUUUGAAGACACCAACUUGUGUGCAAUCCACGC